rnacentral:rRNA from 1 species
GUGAGGAAUAUUGGUCAAUGGACGAGAGUCUGAACCAGCCAAGUCGCGUGAAGGAAGACGGUUCUAUGAAUUGUAAACUUCUUUUGUGCAGGAAUAAAGUGGGUUACGUGUAACCUUUUGUAUGUACUGUACGAAUAAGGAUCGGCUAACUCCGUGCCAGCAGCCGCGGUAAUACGGAGGAUCCGAGCGUUAUCCGGAUUUAUUGGGUUUUAAGGGUGCGUAGGUGGAUUGAUAAGUCAGCGGUGAAAGUUUGCAGCUUAACUGUAAAAUUGCCGUUGAAACUGUCGGUCUUGAGUGCAAAUGAGGUAGGCGGAAUGUGUUGUGUAGCGGUGAAAUGCUUAGAUAUAACACAGAACUCCGAUUGCGAAGGCAGCUUACUGGGAUGCAACUGACACUGAUGCACGAAAGCGUGGGUAUCAAACAGGAUUAGAUACCCGUGUAGUCC